GGGCAGAGGCCAUGGUCCGGGAGGGAGGCGGCCUGGGAGCUGCGGUGGCCCCAGAGGAGCAGGAGGCCAAUGAGGAUGAGAAACAGGAUGACAGAAAGCGCCAUGGUCCUCCCUUCGCCUGCCUUCCGCCUUGCUGCCCUUCUUAAAAGCUCUAGUUUUCCAGAUGGACCAUGCUGUCUUCACCUUCAGCCUCUGCUCCUGCUCUUCCUGCUGAUGGAAGCCUCCAGUGGCUGACUGAUGGUCACCCAUGAUGUCUUAGCUUAGAAGCCAGUGCUUCAGAAAGAAGAAAGAAGGAAAGAAAGAAGGAAAGAAAAGAAAGAAAGAAAGAAAGAAAGAAAGAAAGAAAGAAAGAAAGAAAGAAAGAAAGAAAGAAAGAAAGAAAGAAAGAAAGAAAGAAAGGAAGGAAGGAAGGAAGGAAGGAAGGAAGGAAGGAAGGAAGAAGGAAGGAAGGAAGAGAAAAAGAGAAAUGAGAGUGAUAAAACCAAAAAAAACCAAAAGGUCAAGUUUGGAGAUCGAGAUCCCAGGAUGCCCACACAAAGGAGAUGCAGGAGCCCAGUGGGAUGAUGUACCUUGGGGAGGAUGUAGCCUCGGAAGUAAGUGUCUUUGGUGACCAU